AUACGGAGGGUGCAAGCGUUACUCGGAAUCACUGGGCGUAAAGCGCGCGCAGGCGGCCAUUUAAGUUGGAUGUGAAAGCCUACGGCUCAACCGUAGAACUGCAUCCAAAACUAUUUAGCUAGAGUGUGGGAGAGGAAGAUGGAAUUAGUUGUGUAGGGGUAAAAUCCGUAGAGAUAACUAGGAAUACCAAAAGCGAAGGCAAUCUUCUGGAACACUACUGACGCUGAGGCGCGAAAGCGUGGGGAGCAAACAGGAUUAGAAACCCCUGUAGUCC
rnacentral:rRNA from 1 species